CCCUCUUCUCUUUUGUUACUUUCAUUCAUUCCUUCAUUCAAAGAAAACAAAAAGGAAAAACCCUAGCUAGACUCCACCGCCGCCGAACGGAGUGAUCGGUUGCCGCCGUCCGUGGCUGUUCGAGGAGUCUCUCUUUGUACUGUCGGUGUUUUCCAAGUCAAAUCCCCUGUUCGAUGUCUUCUUCCUCACUUGGCGCCCAUCCUCCAUCGGAUUCUUCCUGCUUGCGGUCGUCUUGUCGCUGUCGUCUCAGUGUCAUUGUCUCGAAGAUUACAAAAAAAAAAAAUCACUUGGAACACUUGCACACAAACAUGCCCAGUCCUAACAGCAGCUUCCCAAUAGAUCCUUCGUUGGAUCCUUUCCCUGUUCUCAGAACCUUGGUUGUAAUCAUGGUAUGAUCUCAUCAAGUGUAUCAAUGCUGGUCCAGCGCAUAAGGUGUGGAAGCUCAAAGUACGUGUCAUUAGAUUUUGGACCGUUUCUCAAUUUGUAAAAUAUGGGAUGAAGGCACCUAUUGAGAUGGUUGUCCUUGAUGAAGAGGUAAAAAUUUCUCUUUGCAUUUGAGAUUUAUUUUGGUAAUGACUGAACAAUAAACCUCAUUUAUCUAUGACUCUAUAAAAUUAAUGCAUUCAGGGGGAUACAAUUCAAUGCACUG